ACACCAAUACCUUAGGUUUAUAUUUAUAUAGUAUAAAAUAAAGUAAUAUUCUAGGUUGAUUAGGGCUAAUGAGGAUAACAAGAGUAGGUAAAAUUUAAUUGUUGUUAUUAAUUAUAUAGUUCUAUGAAGAAAUUCUUUGAAAAUAAGGUUUAAGAAAACUAGGAUUAGAGACCCUAUUAUUCUUUAUUUUAAAAAUUUUAUUACUUAAGUAGUAUAAAUGUGAACAGUGUAUGUAUAGUUUUUUCGAUUGUUUGAAACUUAAAAGGCUUGGCGGUGUUAUAUAUCCUACCAGGGGAGCUUGCUUAUUAAUUUGAUAAUCCCCAAUUUAUACUUACUUUUUUUUGAAUUAUAACAGUUUGUGUAUUGCUGUCGUCAGUUUAUUUUGUAAAAAUUUAGGAAAAAACUAAAUAAUUUUAUGGUUGUG
rnacentral:rRNA from 1 species